GGGGAUAUAGCUCAGUUGGUAAGAGUGCUUGCCUAGCAUGCACAAGGCCCUGGGUUCAAUCCCCAGCAUCAUUA
rnacentral:tRNA from 1 species